rnacentral:rRNA from 1 species
CCUACGGGAGGCAGCAGUAGGGAAUUUUCGUCAAUGGGCGCAAGCCUGAACGAGCGAUGCCGCGUGAGUGAAGAAGGCCUUCGGGUCGUAAAGCUCUGUUGCGGGGGAAAAAAGGCAGCAUCAGGAAAUGGGUGCUGACUGAUGGUGCCCCGCCAGAAAGUCACGGCUAACUACGUGCCAGCAGCCGCGGUAAUACGUAGGUGGCGAGCGUUAUCCGGAAUGGUUGGGCGUAAAGGGUGCGCAGGCGGUCCUGCAAGUCUGGAGUGAAACGCAUGAGCUCAACUCAUGCAUGGCUUUGGAAACUGGAGGACUGGAGAGCAGGAGAGGGCGGUGGAACUCCAUGUGUACCGGUAAAAUGCGUAGAUAUAUGGAAGAACACCAGUGGCGAAGGCGGCCGCCUGGCCUGUUGCUGGCGCUGAGGCACGAAAGCGUGGGGAGCAAAUAGGAUUAGAUACCCGAGUAGUC